UUCCCUUCGGGGACAUUGGUGACAGGUGGUGCAUGGUUGUCGUCAGCUCGUGUCGUGAGAUGUUGGGUUAAGUCCCGCAACGAGCGCAACCCUUGUCUUUAGUUGCCAUCAUUAAGUUGGGCACUCUAGAGAGACUGCCAGGGAUAACCUGGAGGAAGGUGGGGAUGACGUCAAAUCAUCAUGCCCCUUAUGCUUAGGGCUACACACGUGCUACAAUGGGUAGUACAGAGGGUUGCCAAGCCGUAAGGUGGAGCUAAUCCCUUAAAGCUACUCUCAGUUCGGAUUGUAGGCUGAAACUCGCCUACAUGAAGCUGGAGUUACGAGUAAUCGCAGAUCAGAAGACUGCGGUGAAUGCGUUCCCGGGUCUUGUACACACCGCCCGUCACACCACGGGAGUUGGAGACGCCCGAAGCCGAUUAUCUAACCUUUUGGAAGAAGUCGUCGAAGGUGGAAUCAAUAACUGGGGUGAAGUCGUAACAAGGUAGCCGUAUCGGAAGGUGCGGCUGGAUCACCUCCUUUCUAAGGAGA
rnacentral:rRNA from 1 species